GAUGAACGCUGUCUACAGGCUUAACACAUGCAAGUCGAGGGGAAACGACGGGGAAGCUUGCUUCCCCGGGCGUCGACCGGCGCACGGGUGAGUAACGCGUAUCCAACCUGCCUCUGACUGAGGGAUAACCCGUCGAAAGUCGGCCUAAUACCUCAUGGCAUCGUCUGCGGGCAUCCAACGACGAUUAAAGAUUUCAUCGGUCAGGGAUGGGGAUGCGUCUGAUUAGCUUGUUGGCGGGGUAACGGCCCACCAAGGCUACGAUCAGUAGGGGUUCUGAGAGGAAGGGCCCCCACAGUGGAACUGAGACACGGUCCAAACUCCUACGGGAGGCAGCAGUGAGGAAUAUUGGUCAAUGGGCGGGAGCCUGAACCAGCCAAGUAGCGUGCAGGAUGACGGCCCUAUGGGUUGUAAACUGCUUUUAUGCGGGGAUAAAGUGAGGGACGUGUCCUUCAUUGCAGGUACCGCAUGAAUAAGGACCGGCUAAUUCCGUG
rnacentral:rRNA from 1 species